rnacentral:rRNA from 1 species
AUCUGCAGAAUUCGGCUUGCUUAAAGGGGCCGUAGCUUGAUAUGCAAGUCCCUUGAGAAAUCCGCCAGCUUAACUGGGGGGCGUUCAGGGGAAACUGCGUUUCUAGGGACCGGGAGAGGUGAGAGGUACUGCCGGGGUAGGAGUGAAAUCCUGUAAUCCCGGUGGGACCACCUAUGGCGAAGGCAUCUCACCAGAACGGGUCCGACAGUGAGGGACGAAAGCUGGGGGAGCAAACCGGAUUAGAUACCCGGGUAGUCCCAGCUGUAAACGAUGCGCGUUAGGUGUGUCAGUGACCACGUGUCACUGAGGUGCCGAAGGGAAACCGUGAAACGCGCCGCCUGGGGAGUACGGUCGCAAGGCUGAAACUUAAAGGAAUUGGUGGGGGAGCACCACAACGGGUGGAGCCUGCGGUUUAAUCGGACUCAACGCCGGAAAUCUCACCGGAUAAGACAGCUGAAUGAUAGUCGGGAUGAAGACUCUACUUGACUAGCUGAGAGGAGGUGCAUGGCCGUCGUCAGUUCGUACUGUGAAGCAUCCUGUUUAGUCAGGCAACGAGCGAGACCCACGCCAACAGUUGCCAGCUUGACCUUCGGGUUGAUGGGGACACUGUUGGGACCGCCUCUGCUAAAGGGGAGGAAGGAAUGGGCAACGGUAGGUCCGCAUGCCCCGAAA